rnacentral:rRNA from 1 species
GACGUAGGGCGCGAGCGUUGUCCGGAUUUAUUGGGCGUAAGGAGCUCGUAGGCGGCUUGUCGCGUCGUCCGUGAAAACCUGCGGCUCAACUGCAGGCUUGCGGUCGAUACGGGCAGGCUAGAGUUCGGUAGGGGAGACUGGAAUUCCUGGUGUGAGCGGUGAAAUGCGCAGAUAUCAGGAAGAACACCCGUGGCUAAGGCGGCUCUCUAGUACGGUACUGACGCUGAGACGCGAAAGCGUGGGGAGCGAACAGG